GUUGCCUCAAGUUCACUUUCAACCUCAAAUGAUUCCUGCACGAGAAAUUAAAACAGCUCGUCAAUCAAGAUGAUGUAUCAGCUUACAUGUUAAGUGGAUGGUCCUCUAGUGGACCUCACUAGGACUUUGGACAUAUGUCAUCCUGAUGAUCUGGUACUUAGCGCACCAGGAUGCACAUUUACGUGCUCUGAAUGACGCGAGCACAGGAGCUGCGUACUCAUUCUUAAAAGUGCAUGAAUAAGGGGGUCCGCCCCUGAAACACUGUGCCAUGACUGAUGAAAGUACAGACAUUGCUGCUAUUUCUUGCUGCUAUAUGUAACAGAGUCCUGCGAGACAGUCUUUGUGCAAUAUGAAAUAAGAAAAUAAAGCCGGAAGAAUAUUCCUGAGAAGAGUGAGUUAUUGCAUAUUUUUACUCACGUAAAAUACUGUUUAAGUUGGCGUGCUGCUAGCACUUUAAUAG